UCCGGUGGCGAUGGCGGAGUGGCCACACCCGAUCCCAUUCCGAACUCGGAAGUUAAGCACUCCAGCGCCGAAGGUACUGAGGGGGCGACCCCUUGGGAGAAUAGGACGCUGCCGGGC
rfam:Hydrogenibacillus schlegelii strain DSM 2000 scaffold156, whole genome shotgun sequence.